GGCAAAUAAGGGUAUAAAAGCUGGCCACGCGGAGCACCCAGCCAGCUGCUGCAACCCGCUGCCCUCUGGUGUCCUGCUGUGGGAGCUUUGUUCUUUCACUCUCGUAAUAAGUCUUGCUGCUGCUCACUCUUUGGGUCCGCACUGUCUCUGUGAGCUGUAACACUCACCGCGAGGUUCUGUGCCUUCGUUCUUUAAGUCAGGGAGACCACGAACCCACCGGGAGGAACAAACAACUGUGAUGCGCCAUCUUUAAGAGCUGUAACAUUCACCGCCGGGGUCUGCGGCUUCAUUCCUGGAGUGAGUGAGACCACGAACCCACCAGAAGGAAGAAACUCUGGACCCAUCUGAACAGCUGAAGGAACAAACUCCGGACACACCAUCUUUAAGAACUGUAACACUCACCGGGAGUCUCCGUGGCUUCAUUCUUGAAGACAGCGAGACCAAGAACCCACCAGAAGGAAUGAAUUCCGCACACAGCAACAGCACAAAGUUAAACCAGGAAGUCCCUCUGCCUUGCUAGGGAUCCAGGUUUGCCUUCCUGUUGAGGUAUCCCAUUUCAUUACAGUUGACCUAAGUUUGAACAAACACUGCCACCUGAUGCAUGAAAGCUCUACUGUGACCUACGUUAAAAGGAGCUGACACUCCCUCAGGCUACCUUAGUCAGUGGGGGCUUACUGCAGCAUACCUGUGGCGAUGAGAGAGAGAGGCACAUCACAGGAGCAUCUGGCACCAGUGGCAUCCUGAAUUUAAGAUGAAACAAUAGAGAAAGAACCAAGAAGUUACAUACAUUCAUCAGAAUUGCUGGAGAGUCCUGACCUCUGGCCAUCGAUCAAAGGGAAGCGUUCACUACUGAAGGUUUGUCUUCACUGUACUGGGUAUUCAACUUCCUUGAAAUUAAAAGGAAGAAGGAUAAAAAGUGGUAUGCUGAAUGGAUUAAAGCCUUGUUUCAACUCUUUAAUGAGUGGACUAUUCUCUGAAGCUGGCCCUCAGUCUUACUCUGGGUUCAUCAACCAAGGUCAAGAUCUGUCCACAUGCACGUAACAGGAGCACUUUUCCGAGAAUUGUAAAGGAGCCACGGUGCAAAGCCUUCUGGACCUGGGUCUCAUGUGAAAACUCAGCAAUGAGCCUCCUGGCCUGAGAUGAGCCUGCGGAGCACCUUGUUACAGCACGCAUAUGAUGUAUAUAAAAAAUGAACACAUGUAUUCCAAUUACACUGAUUUGAUCUUUACAAACUAUAUGGAUGUAUUAAAUUGUCACAUGUACCCUCAAAAUAUGUACAUCUAUUAUGUAUCAAUAAAAUAAUUAACAUAUUUUUAACUUGUUUUUGGUAGAGCCGUAACAUCUGGGGAGCAAUUAAUUGCAGAAGCAAUUAAUCUGGCUAUUGACUGAUAUUUACUCAGGACAAGGAAAACUAUCAUUACUAAGUAAGAUGUGCAAGAAAGAUUAAUUCACAGUAAGCAAGAUUUUUGUAGCUUGUACUGCUAUAAAUUUGUAUUACUGACUGACAUUGGGACCAUCUACAUGUAAAUCCUACAAAUCAGGACAGAACAGUGACCUCCUCAAGUGCUCAUCAUACUUAUCUCAGUUUCCAGAAGUCAGCAAUCAAUCUGAAAAGGUAACUAAAAUGGCACUUAUAAGAACCAUAGAUUGGUAAAGUUAAUUAUCCAUAUUUGUUAAUAAUACAAAUAAUAGUUAAUAUUUAUAAUGCCCCUACCAUGUACCAGGCUUCAUGCUAAGUACUUUAUAUUUUUAAAUUUUUAUUUCAAUAGCUCUUGGGGUACAAGUGGUUUUUUGUGGCAUGGAUGAAUUAUACGGUGGUGAAUUUGAAGAUUUUAGUGCACCUGUCACCCAAGUAGUGUACAUUGUACCUAAUGGGUAGUUUUUUUUAUCCUGAGAACCUCUUCCAACCUCCCACUUCUGAUUCUCCAAAGUCCAUUAUAUCACUCUGUAUGCCUUUGUGUACUCAUAUAUGCUUUAUAUCACUUAAUCCUAACAACAAUACUAUGAGGUAGAUACUAUUAUUUUCCCCAAUAUAUAGUGAUGCACCACAUAGUUUCAGUCAGUGAUGGACUGCAUUUAAGACAGUAGUCCCAUAAGAUUAUAGUGGAGCUGAGAAGUUUCUAUCAUCUGUAAUGUUGUAGCCAUCAUAAUGUUGUAGCACAACCCAUUACUCAUGUUUGUGGUGAUGAUAUAAACAAAUCUCCUGCAUUGCCAGUCACAUAAAAGCAUAACACAUACAAUUAUGAACAGUACCUAAUACUUGAUAAUGGUAACAAAUGACUAUGUUACUGCUUUAUAUAUAAUAUUUACUAUACUAUAGUUUUUUACUGUUAUUUUAGAGUGUACUCCUUUUACUUAUGAAAAAAAGGUCACUGUGGCCGGGCGCAGUGGCUCAUACCUGUAAUCCCAGCACUUUGGGAGGCCGAGGCAGGUGGAUCACGGGGUCAGGAGUUCAAGACCAGCCUGGCCAAGAUGGUGAAACCCCAUCUCUAAUAAAAAUACAAAAAUUAGCCAGGCAUGGUGGCGUGUGCCUAUAAUCCCAGCUACUCGGGAGGCUGAAGAAGAGAAUUGCUUGAACCCGGGAGGUGGAGGUUGCAGUGAGCCGAAGUCAUGCCACUGCACUCCAGCCUGGGCGACAGAGCAAGACUCCGUUUACAAAAAAAAAAAAAGAAAAGAAAAAAGGUUAUUGUAACACAGCUUCAGGCAGGUCCUUCAGGAGGUAUUUCAGAAGAAGGCAUUGUUAUUCUA
rnacentral:lncRNA from 1 species